UUCAUUUAAUAACAAUGAAUUCAAGAUCAGAUUUCCACAAUAACAAAAGUUAACUUUGUUAAAUCCCCCAUGAAAACUAAAGAUCUGCUGCUACUGAUAUAAAAACUUCCAAACAAUGGUCACAACUUCAAUGUUGUUUUGAUGUUUGCUUUUCUUUAUGACUAAUUAUCGCUACUAAACAGUUCUCCUUUGCAUUUUUUUUUUUUUUAAUGAUUUUUCAAUUUCAUACUAGGAUAUGUCCGCUGGAGCAAGGGACAGCUUACAAACCCAGUUUUCAAUUUCAUUCAUAUCUGUUGUUUAAAUUUUCCCUUUAGUAUGCAUAUAGAAAAGUUAAGAAACAACUUAAUUAAGUGCAAGAAGCAUUCUGUUAUGCAUUAUAUUCUAACUCCAUUGAUAAUAUUACUCAAGUAUCUGCCUAAACAUGCAACAACUGGGCUGAAAAAUUAAACAUCUUCAUUAGUUAUCUCUAAAAGUAAAAUACACUUGCUUACUUCAUUUCAGCAAGUUUUGCCAAUCUCAGAUUUUGUUUGAACUUAUUUUAAAUUUAAAAAUCUUGACAUUGAUAAAGCUUUAUGAGAAAGGGUGACUAUUAUGUACAACACUUCUCCCCUUUUUCCAACUAUUUCCUUUGAUUCUCUUUUCUUCAAUUUCGGUCGAGAAUUUGGUGUGUUCUCCCACAUAUAUUCAAAAUCUGUACAGUGCAUAAAGGUUUUAGUCUCUCAUGUUAUGCAAGAAGUAGAGCAACUUAUCAACAUACUAAACUUGAGAAGUAAACUGCAUGGAAAAGACUUGGUGUGGUCUAUUGUUUUUAGAUUCUGAGCAAUGUUUAGGUUUGCUUUGUUUUGUAAGUUGUUUUCUGAUUUAUUUUCAACCAUUGAUGUUCUGAUUUUGGGGAGACACAUCAGAUCCUGAUAGUCUGUAUAUGUUUAGUUUGAGAAAAAUCUAAUUGGAAACAGGUUUAACAAGCUGCCAUUGCCCUUACUAAAUUGUCACGAGACUUUAGAUUGUUAUAUCUUCUCAUAUCUAUAAGACCUAGAUUGAUGGAGAUGGAUUUCGAGUUAAGAAACUGUAAGACAUCAUUAAGUGCUUGAAUGCUAAAAGGACCAGGAGCCUUUUGAAUUAUUUGAAUGACAUUAGUGAUUUAUCCCUUUUUCCCAGCUUCUGCUCUGAACAUUGUAGACCACACUCCAUUCUUUUUUUUACAUCUUCUUUUAUCGCUUAGUUGUGUGCAUAUGUCUGGGUUAAUGUAGCUUUUCCUAUUGCUUUUGCAGAUUAUAUCCUCAGAGUGUUGAGAAGGCUUCACAGACUGAUAAGCUGUUUGCGCUUCUCCAAACAACAUUCAUAAUUUUCAAAAGUAGAAUACUUAACUGUCAUUAAGAUUCAUGACUUUUAGUUCAAUUUCGACAGUGCUUUGAACCAAGCCUACAUUAUAUAUCAGUAACCUUCAAUGCUUUUUUAGAACAGCCAACUUUGUCUUUCUGUAUUUCUCACUUUCAUAAAAAAUGAAGUCAAUUUCAGUUAUGUUUUUCAUGGUUGUAAUUUGUUAGCAACAACAAAUUCCGCGGCAAAGCGCGGGCGCCAUUGCUAGUACAUAUAUUAAGCGUGGAUGCACUGUUACACUGUUCUAAGUACAGUGAACAGUCGCUUUUACCCUCCGUCCUCCGAUGUCUAGGAAAAUACGAAGCUGCCAUUCAGGGGGUUGGAAGGUCCUUUUUGGACCUUGGUUUUCUCCGAUAAGAUGAAGUUGCUAUUGUUGUAUGGAUAAGGAUCAUUGUCGGGUUUGCAAUACAUCAAGAUUGAAAAAAGGGCUUCGUUCCGUGUUUGUGGACGGGUGGAGCAUAGACGCGGGAAGAUCGUGAGGUUUGCAAUUGAGCGAUUUACAUCAAGAUUGAAAAGAAGGAGGAUUUCUGGUGAAAAUACGUCGGGUGGAUUUUUCCUAACCUGAAUCUGUUUUGCUUAUUACUGGUGGAUGUCAAUUUCUGUGUUGACAGUCUGUGGUUUUUUUGCAGUCAGCUGCAAUUGGUACUGAACUCAGGAUGAGCAACAUGUUGUUCUAUGUAUUACCAGAUUAAAGAAUAUAUGGUAAUCAUCAUUGCUGACGGAGCAACACAGGGUCUUCCUUCAAACAAAUUGCAACCGAUAAACCAGCAACCAACAACAACAUGAAGUACAGAUGAAUGGGAUUGUAUAACGAGCCAUAUAAUUACUAAGCAAACAAAUUGCAAUAUUGUACUUGAUUUAUAGCUUCAUUUUCUUUGACAUAAAUUGUACUCAAUUUAUGACUUCACUUCGAUUUAACGAUUCACAUUUUUCAAUCAAAAUUCAUUUUACAUUAUUAAUCCAUAAGUUUGA